GAUGUGGUGAAUUUCAAGCACAAAACUGCAGCCUCCGUCAUGCGGAACCUGCAGAAGGAGUUGGUGGAUGUCACGAAAACGACAAAGGUGUCUGGGCUGAUUCAUGCCUCUUUGUCCACAGACAGGCACCUGAUGAUGGAGCACACCAAGAAGCAGCUGGCCAGGGCUUUCAGAGAGAACGUUGCCCUAGCACCUGCAGAGGACGCUCCUGUCCAGCAGACGGGAGGCUCUGGGCGUCUAUGACCUGAGGAACACAGCAGAGGUCUCCUUCCAUGACCGCGAGCAGCUUUCUUUGUUGCAGAAGAGGACGCGCACAGCCCUGGUAGACCACUUCAGACGACGCAGCCUCCACAGCCGGGCUGCACUGGCCCUCUUCCAGGCCCGCUCCAGUGAC